rnacentral:rRNA from 1 species
GAUGAACGCUGACAGAAUGCUUAACACAUGCAAGUCGACUUGAAGCAACUUCGGUUGUGGAAAGUGGCGGACGGGUGAGUAACGCGUAAAGAACUUGCCCUUCAGCCUGGGACAACCAUUGGAAACGAUGGCUAAUACCGGAUAUUAUGGAACUCUCGCAUGGGAGGAUCAUGAAAGCUAUAUGCGCUGAAGGAGAGCUUUGCGUUCCAUUAGCUAGUUGGUGAGGUAACGGCUCACCAAGGCGACGAUGGAUAGCCGGCCUGAGAGGGUGAUCGGCCACAAGGGGACUGAGACACGGCCCUUACUCCUACGGGAGGCAGCAGUGGGGAAUAUUGGACAAUGGACCAAAAGUCUGAUCCAGCAAUUCUGUGUGCACGAUGAAGGUUUUCGGAUCGUAAAGUGCUUUCAGUUGGGAAGAAGAAAGUGACGGUACCAACAGAAGAAGCGACGGCUAAAUACGUGCCAGCAGCCGCGGUAAUACGUAUGUCGCAAGCGUUAUCCGGAUUUAUUGGGCGUAAAGCGCGUCUAGGCGGGUUCAUAAGUCUGAUGUUAAAAUGCGGGGCUCAACUCCGUAUUGCGUUGGAAACUGUGAACCUAGAGUAUCAGAGAGGUGGGCGGAACUACAAGUGUAGAGGUGAAAUUCGUAGAUAUUUGUAGGAAUGCCGAUGGAGAAGUCAGCUCACUGGAUGAAUACUGACGCUAAAGCGCGAAAGCGUGGGUAGCAAACAGG